UGGUGGCCUAGUGGUUAGAGCGUCCGCCUCAGAUGUGGGAGGUCGCGGGUUCGAACGCAAGCCGCAUCAUAACAA